GCGACGCGGGGCUCAGUCUCGCGACCCCGGGAUUCACGACCUGAGCCGAAAUCAAGAGUCGGACGCUCAACAGACUGAACCUCCCAGCCGCCCCUGUUUGGGUUUUUUGUUUUGUUUUGUUUUAAGGUAGGGGUUAUUUUGUGGUGAGGGCAAAUGGGAAAGUGUUGUGAGCCUCACAUCAUGCAAGUCAGUGAGGACCUGGGUAUUGAAACUACCUUGAAAACUCUCUCUCUUUAUUAGGGCGGGAAGCCUUUCCCGCAAGCCGACGGUACGCAGGCCCCUGAGUCCCACCUGCCAGGAUGGGGCAUAAGCCAGACCAGAGUCUGAGUUUGUGCUCAUAUUGACCUACAUUCUCAUCACAACUCAAAGAUGAUGGUAUUAAUAUUCACAGUGAAAGCAGUAGUAAUAACAACGACAGUUAACGUUUACCGAGUGCUCACCCUGUGCCGGGACCUGUUCUCAACCCUUUAGAUGCAUCAUCUCAUUUAAUGCUUCGACAGCCUAUGAGGUAGGUAGGUAGCCACGCCCAUCUUACAGAUAGAGAAACUGAGGCCCAGAGAGAUUGAUAAUUUGCCCGAGGUCACACAGCUAAUAAGCGGCAGAAGUUGGUGAGGACGCAGGCAUUCCAGCCACAGAGCCUUUGCGAGGAGCCCCCAGACCUGGAGUGAACCGUGUCUGCAUCUGGGAGGCUGGGCUACUCUGAGGGAGGUUUUCUUGUUUCUGCUCCCAUCUGCCGCAUCUUGAAUGCAUCUUUUAUUUAUUCAUUUGUUUUCAUGUUUAUUUAUUUAUUUUUGAGAAAGAGAAAGAGAGGACAGGGGAGGGGCAGAGAGAGAAGGAAAGGCGGAAUCCCAAGCAGGUUCCGCACCGUCAGCGCAGAGCCCGACGCGGGGCUCGAACCCACGAACCGUGAGAUCACGACCUGAGCCGAACUUAAGAGUCGGAUGCCCAAGCGACUGGGCAACCCAGGCGCCCCUUGAAUGAAUCUGUUAAACGAGAUGCCACAUCCACCCCUUAUCCGACGCAGCAGCAACGGAAGCCGUUGGUCACCGGAAGGCUCGUGGUUGUGGGGCCAUCACCUGCGAGGUUGUCCACCCAGAUGUGGUGACUGCUCUCCUCGGCCUGCCGCCCUGCUGCUCUCUUUCCAGAAUCCACCUUGUCUGGACCACAUGCUAAUGAGCUAACUGAGAAGGUCUGACUUACUGGCAGCGUUUCUUGAUGAAACCCACUUGCUCCAUAGAAGAGCUGGCACGGGCAGAGAGACCUGAGUGACAGGACCGUGUGUGGAUGCCAAGCGGCGUUGGGACCAUUUAGUUCAAGGGGUUGUCCGGGUGCCAGCACCACCUCCACACGCGCAACUAGUGACCGCGCCAAAGCGUGUGGGUAUGGUUUUCGAGGUCGUCGGGAGACGCGGCGUGGGAGGCAGGGACGAGGGGCCGACCCCCCUCGGGCCACAGGGGACGGCCGCACCCCACGUGGACGAAGCGCCAGCAGGCUCAGCACCGGCCCGCGAGCGAGGGGAGCCUGGCGAUGCCCUUACGAGGGGACCACGGUCAGACCUCCAAGACCCACUUGUGCUGCUUCCAUUCGGCAGCGAAUCAAGAGUUGCCCAAAACAGCAGGAACGAAGAUUUUAAGAACCCCCCCCCCCCCGCCAGCUCCCUGAAGGAAGUUGUCACAUCUGUGUGUGACGCCUGGAGCUGCAGCAGCAUCUUGUGACCGUGAGGGGACAGCCCCAUCUGCGGUCAAUGGGGGAGAGCAAAAAGAGCCCAGACCCUUGGAGAGUUCCCAGGGACGCUGGUCCCAGGUGGGACCGCCUACCAGCGGCCGUCACAUUUUGCGAGAAAAAGCCACUCUCUCCUUGUUCGAUCCACUUCUACUUAUGUAUUCUUUUAGUGUUUAUUUUUGAGAGAGAGAGAGCAAGAGAGAGAGCGCGUGAUUGGGGAAGAGGCAGAGAGAGAGGGAGACAGAGCAUCCCAAGCAGGCUUCUCACUGUCAUCACAGGGCCCGACACGGGGCUCAGUCUCACGAACAGUGAGAUCGUGGGCUGAGCCGAAAUCAAGAGUCAGAUGCUCAACCGACUGAGCCACCCAGGCCCCCUGUGGAUCCACCUUUAAUCAACUGCCCCGGGCCCUCUUGUCAGACGUACUCUCGCCUACGGAACGGUCCCCAUGUCGCAGACCCACUGCGAGAAUUAAGUGAGGCGAGGAGGCUUGUGAAACUCCGAGCCAGUCCCCCGUCCUGUGGUGUCGGAUACGUGUCAGCCCCACGUGGCUGGAACACGAAGCCCUUCCACAUCGCCACCUCGAUGACACGAGGGAAGCUGAGGCACAGAGAGGGUGAGGAACUUGCCCCAGGCCCCCAGCAAGAACGCACUGGAGCUGGGGCUCGAACCAGGCCUGCGUCCCGAGCUGCAGCGCGAGACCGCCCUGUCUGGCCCCGUCCCCGGUGGAGGCACUCCUGUAGGACCCGCGAGCCCUGCACAGGGACCUCGCCCUCGGCUCCUGGACGUCCCCAGCUCAGAGCUUCCACUCGUGUCUCGCCUCCUCCCUGUGUCUGCUUGGUCCCGAGGCGCUCCCCGGGGAGGCGAGCAGAGCCAAAAAACCCUGGCUCGCCUGCCUUGCUAAUAGAACUAGAAUGUUCUUGUCGAGAUGGGUUUCUUUUGGGGAUGGCCAAGCAAGCCACGUACUCAGCUGCUGGAGGCAGAGGACAAACACGAUGUGUCAUCGGGGACUCGGCCGCGGCAGCUGACACUUGUCCCUCGCUCUUCGGGGCCGGCUGUGCGAGGAGGAGACUGUUCUUACGCCAAAUCCAGCAUCGCCGAGGGAGUUUUCAUAAUUGCUGAUCACUCUGGGCUUCCCUCCCACGUUCCUGUCACUUCCCUUCUUCUCCCGAGGGGACUCGCAGGGUCAGCUUGCGGACCUCAGUUGCUGGGACGUCGCAGCCCCUCACCCUGUGGGGAGGGGGCCCUGGCGGUCUUCUCUGAUCCCUUGACAUCUCCUGCUUCAGGGAAUCCCACGGACUGGGCGGAAUCAGUCUCAGAAACCGUUUCUGUUUGCUCUUGAACAUGAUCCCCGGCUCUCUGUGGGUUUCCUUGGCCGGCGUCAACCUGGACGGCCGGUUCGCUCUGGAGCGCUAGACCCCAACACUAGUAACAUCGCCUCCGAGCUCCCCCGGGGCUGCAGCGAAGGGAGAGAAGCCGCCGGGAGGCGGCCGCUGGGUCCCAUCAGCCACAGCGCCGAGGCCCGCGGGUGCGGGUGCGGGUGACAGCAUCCUGCAGGACGCGGCUCGUGUGCCUUAUGACUCAGUGCGGGAGAUAAUUGCACACAGAUCUGUUUUCUUUUUCUUCCUAUCUGGUUAUCUGCAGCUCCAAGAUACCCACCCUUCCCUGCAUGAUUUGCCAUCAGGCAAAUGUCUGUUUUGUUGUGUGCUUGUAAAACCCUGUCUUGAUUUUCUCACCGUGUCCAGCCGCUGUGGCUUGUGGCGGGGAGGGGCACGUCUGCAUUUUGGCCCCCUUGGACAUCCCAUCUUGGGGGUCUAGCUUCUUCUGUGCUAGUCACAGACGGAUGACAUCGUAUUUUGGGUUGUGCCGACCUUUUGGCGACUCAAGAGUAGGCGGAAUACAGGAUUCCAGGUGGGCUGCUGGGGGCUGGGGGUCCCCGUCCUCACGUGGUGCCUUAGGCUGUGAAAGCCAGAGAGAGGAGGUGUGGUCUAAGGAUUCUGCCUCCUGGGUCAACCGCAUCAACCGUGUCUCUCUCUCUCUCUCGCCAUCUCAAGCCCCCUCGUAUAACUUUGCCUGCUACGAGAUGGCAUUGAAUUUGACCCGAGUGUGACCAAGUCACAAAUACAUUCCCUUUGGAAAUGUCCUCACUGUGCCUCUCCUUCUAGAGAGUCCACAUUUUCAAGCAAACUAGAAGUCAUUCCCUUUCAGCUCCUGUCUUUCUCCCGUCCUUUGGGCUGUUGGUUCGUUUUUUUCUUCCUACCGCCAGUUGGCAUUAGAUCCCAUCUGAUCGUGCCUCUGACUUUCGGUUUGCUGCGGUUUCCUCCCACCGCGAUGGCAGCAUCGGGACAGAUGCAGACCUGAUGGGUGCUCCGCCCUCUGUGUCGAGAACUGUACCCUGGGCCGUGCAGGAACUCAACUGGUACUUGGGGAUCAAUUGCAUGGAGCCACUCACUAAAUACGAAUCAGUGACAGUCCCAUGGUGCAUGUGGGGCACCGAGGUCAACUGUGACGAGUUGGGGAUGGCUGGGUGAGGCGCUGUGCUGUAUACAUGUUGCACGCCCGUGACCGUGUUGAACGGGGGGGAGCGGGCAGCGGGGCAGUCAGCGAGCGGGGCUCUGCGGUCCCUCCGUCUGGGUUCAAUUCUGGCCCCAGUUCUUGGUACAUCCCUGCCCUUGGGCAGGUUGCUCAGGCCCCUCUGGGUCAAUUUCCUCAUCUGUAAAUCCCCUCCGUCUGGGGAUGAUGUUAGUACCUAUCGACUCACCGGGACGUUGUCCAGAUUAAAUAAGGUAAUGCGUGCAGCGCACUUAAAAGGCGCUCCGUGCAGGGUGUGGGCUCAGCAAAGACAGCCGUUACUAAUCCUUACAGCAGCCCUACUAAGCGGGCACCACUACGGUCCCGCUUAGCAGACUGGGAAACUAAGCAAGCUCAUAAGCAGACAGAGCGAAACAACACCCACCCUGUGCUCAGCGAGUCUGCAUUUAAUACGGGACAAACGCACAAAAAACUCGGCUCUGCAUUGCAUUGUGCUUAAAAAAAAAGAAAAGAAAAGAAAAAGCCAGAUGCAGGCAAGGUGCUUCAGAUCCCAUUCCUUAUGGAAGGACAGGUUCCAAAGCCCACGCUCGGGUCACAGCGCUAUAUUCCAUGGCUUCUGGGACGCCUUGGCAUGACUUCCGUGUCAUUCGAAGAAAAUCCCCGGUUACGCAAGCACAUGGGCCGGGGUGCGGCCUCAGGAACAAGCAGCGUUAAGCAUGUGACACAAACGGGCAGCUUGAGGACGGCUCUGCGAGUGGAGGAGGCUCGUCACAACCCAGCGGCAUCUGCAGGGACGGUUUAGGCUAAGCGUGCUGUUGCAGUUGGUUCACGGGUUGGCUUGGUGAUGGGGCUGCCUCGUGGUCUCCAGCCGACGUCUGUUUGCUGAUGGUGUCCCGUUUCUGCUUUAAGGGCGCUGAACCUGGGCGCCGAGAAGACACCUAGCGGAGUCCCCAUGUGCUGCUUAUGCCUCGAGCUCAGCCGAAAUGCUCCUUGCGAGACCAAAGAGCAGCUCCACGCCCUGAGUAGCAAGCUGAGACCUGUCUCACAGUGAGGGCCUGUGAGGGGUAGUCAUUACCGGCCUGGCCUUUGAAUCUUGCCGAUGGUGGCAUUUAUAUUCUUAAAACGUGGCUGAGCAGACAGCCAUUUCCCUGGGGAGUUAAGUCAUCAGCUAACAGUGUCUGCAAAUGGCCCCACGGAGACUGCCAGGGAGCAGGUUGAAGGCCACCGAUGGCUCCGGGCGUCACUGGGCCACACACGGGAACGGGAAGAAAAGGUCAGCCAUAGUAGUCACGUGCCACGCGUGGUGCACGACUUGUGUAUAAGACGACUCAUGAACAGGAAGUAUUAUCCCCAUUUUACAGAAAAGCAAACUGAGUCUCAGAGAGGUGAAGUACUCUGCCUAGGUCACACAGCUGGGACGCUGGAUGUCUGAAGUCUGGGAUAUCUGAUUCCAGAUUCCAUACGCUCACCCUCAGUUGACUCACGAUUCUCCUUUUUCGGUAAACAGGGAAGGAGACAGCCUCAGGAGAAGAUGGAGGAGACUGUGAGGGAACAGGAGAAUCGGAGGAAGAAAGGGGCGCCGGUGUUGGGGAGUGAGGUCGGGUGGCCUUGAUGAUUUGCACAGGCCUCCCAGAGGAGCCCCAGCCUGUCCGGCAGGAGCGGCAGCUUGCAGCCAGCCACAGAGCUCUAGGAAGAAAUCGAGGGGGUGUGGCCACAGAAGCCACUUCAAAAGCAGAACGCCUCUGGUGUCAGCAGGACACUUAGGUCGCAAGUGACAGAAAAGCUAAUCAAGCCAGCUUAACAGAAAAACAGAAAAAUAAACAUGGGCUCCCUCAACUUAAAAGUGCAGAGUAGAUGACUUCAGGAGCGGCUGCAUCCAGGUGCUCCAACAAAGCUUCUCUCUGUGUCGCCUGCUUUUGCAGGCAGGCGUUCUCCAAGGAGGAUGGAAGUCAGCAGCCCCAGGCUUGUGUCCAAUGCUUUUGCAGGGGGGAGGAAGUGGCUCCCUCACAGGAGUUCCAGCAGAAAGUCUGGGACGGAGCGGCACUGAGUAGGACUAACGUUGCCUGGGUCACGUUCCCAUUCCUGAACCAAGCACUUUGGCCACAAGGGGAUGAGAUGCUCUGAUCGGCUCAUCCGUACGCAGAACCAGAGCCAGCCCCGCCAGAGCUGCCUGGACCCAGGAGGGCGCGUCUCCGAGAGAAAUUUCCAGAGAAAAGUGUUAAGCAUACUGAGGAGCGAAGACGGAAACCUCAGAUGUCCUCUACCAAGCUUUCUUUUUAUUUUUAUUUUUAUUUUCAAUUAUUUUUUAAUUUU